rnacentral:rRNA from 1 species
UACGGAGGGGGCAAGCGUUGUCCGGAAUCAUUGGGCGUAAAGCGCGCGUAGGCGGCCCUGUAAGUCCGUUGUGAAAGUCGAAGGCUCAACCUUCGAAAGCCGAUGGAUACUGCAGGGCUAGAGUCCGGAAGAGGCGAGUGGAAUUCCUGGUGUAGCGGUGGAAUGCGCAGAUAUCGGGAGGAACACCGGUGGCGAAGGCGGUUCUCUGGGCCUGUACUGACGCUGAGGAGCGAAAGCGUGGGGAGCGAACAGG